rnacentral:rRNA from 1 species
AGUAGUUUGAUCAGUGGCUCGAGGACGAACGCUGGCGGCGUGCCUAACACAUGCAAGUCGAGCGGAGCCAAUUGACGGAUCCCUUCGGGGAGAAGACGAGGAAGCUUAGCGGCGGACGGGUGAGUAACGCGUGAGUAACCUGCCUGUAAGAGGGGGAUAAUUCCUGGAAACGGGGACUAAUACCGCAUAUUGAGCAUCAGUCGCAUGGCAGAUGCUUGAAAGAUUUAUCGCUUACAGAUGGACUCGCGUCUGAUUAGCUUGUUGGCGGGGUAACGGCCCACCAAGGCGACGAUCAGUAGCCGAACUGAGAGGUUGAUCGGCCACAUUGGGACUGAGACACGGCCCAGACUCC